rnacentral:rRNA from 1 species
GAUACGGCGACCAACGGGAUCUACACUCUUUCCCUACACGACGCUCUUCCGAUCUCGCCGAAAAUGUACCGGGGCUAAGCAUAAUACCGAAACUGCGGAAUUAGAGUAAUCUAAUUGGUAGGUGAGCGUUCCAAGGGCAUCGAAGGUAGACCGAGAGGACUACUGGAGCGCUUGGAAGUGAGAAUGCCGGUAUGAGUAACGAAAAGUUGGGUGAGAAUCCCAACCGUCAAAAGUCCAAGGUUUCCAGGGGAAGGUUCGUCCGCCCUGGGUUAGUCAGGUCCUAAGGUGAGGCUGAAGAGCGUAGCUGAUGGCCAACAGGUUGAUAUUCCUGUACUACUCAUGGGACUGAAGGAGUGACAAAGGAAGAUAGUCUGAGCCCAUUAAUGGAUUUGGGUUGAAGGCGGCGAGGGUGUGAUGCAGGCAAAUCCGCAUCACGUAAGCCUGAGCGCUGAUCACGCAAGUCAGACGAAUCUCGACUUUCAAGAAAAGCUUCUAGGGAUAAUGUCAUGAGUACCUGUACCGCAAACCGACACAGGUGGACGAGGAGAGAAUCUAAAGACGCGCGAGAUAACCCUUGUUAAGGAACUCGGCAAAAUGACCCCGUAAGUUCGCGAUAAGGGGAGCUUUAAGCAAUUAAAGCCGCAGAGAAGCGGCCCAAGCAACUGUUUACCAAAAACACAGGUUUCUGCUAAAUCGCAAGAUGAAGUAUAGGAGCUGACACCUGCCCAGUGCUGGAAGGUUAAGAGGAGAGGUUAGCGCAAGCGAAGCUUUGAAUCGAAGCCCCAGUGAACGGCGGCCGUAACUAUAACGGUCCUAAGGUAGCGAAAUUCCUUGACAGGUAAGUUCUGUCCCGCACGAAUGGUGUAAUGACUUGGGCACUGUCUCAACAAGGGACUCGGUGAAAUUUUAGUACCUGUGAAGAUGCAGGUUACCCGCGACUAGACGGAAAGACCCCAUGGAGCUUUACUGUAGCUUGAUAUUGACAUUCGGUAACGGAUGUACAGGAUAGGUGGGAGGCUAAGAAGCCGGGACGUCAGUCUCGGUGGAGCCAACGUUGGGAUACCACCCUUCGGUUAUUGAAUGUCUAACCCGCAGAUGUGGAAUCUGGGGGACAGUGUCUGGUGGUCAGUUUGACUGGGGCGGUCGCCUCCCAAAGAGUAACGGAGGCGCACAAAGGUUGGUUCAGAAUGGUUGGGAAUCAUUCGGAGAGUGUAAUGGCAAAAACCAGCUUGACUGCGAGACUAACACGUCGAGCAGAGACGAAAGUCGGUCAUAGUGAACUGGCGGUCCCGAAUGGAAGGGCCGUCAAUCAACGGAUAAAAGUUACCCUGGGGAUAACAGGCUGAUGACUUCCAAGAGUACACAUCGACGAAGUUGUUUGGCACCUCGAUGUCGGCUCAUCGCAUCCUGGAGCUGAAGUAGGUUCCAAGGGUUGGGCUGUUCGCCCAUUAAAGCGGUACGUGAGCUGGGUUCAGAACGUCGUGAGACAGUUCGGUCCCUA